AACGCGAAGAACCUUACCUACCCUUGACAUCCUGCGAAUCUUGGUGAGAGCUGAGAGUGCCGAAAGGAGCGCAGAGACAGGUGCUGCAUGGCUGUCGUCAGCUCGUGUUGUGAGAUGUUGGGUUAAGUCCCGUAACGAGCGCAACCCUUGUUCUUAGUUGCCAGCAAGUAAAGUUGGGGACUCUAAGAAGACUGCCGGUGAUGAACCGGAGGAAGGCGGGGACGACGUCAAGUCAUCAUGGCCUUUAUGGGUAGGGCUACACACGUGCUACAAUGGGGCGUACAGAGGGUAGCCAACCAGCGAUGGGGAGCCAAUCUCAAAAAGCGUCUCGUAGUCCGGAUUGGAGUCUGCAACUCGACUCCAUGAAGUUGGAAUCGCUAGUAAUCGCGAAUCAGCCAUGUCGCGGUGAAUACGUUCCCGGGCCUUGUA
rnacentral:rRNA from 1 species